GUGCUUUUGUUCCUUGUGUCAUUCUUCAAGCGAGAUGGGUUUCCCACAUUUUCUAUAAGCAUCAAUCAAAGCAUUGUUGAGAAUCACAUUGGAGUGAAAUCCAACUAUAACUGCCACUACAUAAUCCUUGUUUUUAUCCAGAAACAUAUCAGCCUGAUAUGUCACCUCCCCGACAUAAUGAAAUAUUAUGAAAUUAGUUCGAGAAAGUUUCGAUUGGAUAAAGCGCUUUUUGUUCUUGAAUGUCUGGUACAACUUCUGAGCGAAUGUUUCAUGUGUAGACUUAGGAAAUAUACCAGCUUCAUUAAGAAGUGA